rnacentral:lncRNA from 1 species
CCCAAAACACAAGUCACGGGCAUAGUCACGUUCCAUUGCUGCGACCGGUGCAAGAGUCAGAGGUGUGCUGCUUAUGAGGUUGGCAUCACCAACCCAGUGCUGCCUAUCAAAUGGGCAUGACCAGUGGGUGUGCCGCCUUUCUUUUAGGCUUCACCAGUCUUCUUGUCCCAUCAAUGACAGCAGGUAGACAGAGGGUUUGAGUGGGUCAGGU